rnacentral:tRNA from 1 species
CCGGACGUAGCUCAGCCUUAGUCAGAGUGCUCGCUUCGGAAGCGAGGGGUCGCAGGUGCAAAUCCUGCCGUCCGGACCA